ACUCCUACGGGAGGCAGCAGUGGGGAAUAUUGCACAAUGGGCGCAAGCCUGAUGCAGCCAUGCCGCGUGUGAUGAAGAAGGCCUUCGGGUUGUAAAGUACUUUCAGCAGUGAGGAAGGUGGAUAUGUUAAUAGCAUACCUCAUUUGACGUUAGCUGCAGAAGAAGCACCGGACCNAAGUUCCGCCAGCAGCCGCGGUAAUACGGAGGGUGCGAGCGUUAAUCGGAAUUACUGGGCGUAAAGCGCAUGCAGGUGGUUUGUUAAGUCAGAUGUGAAAGCCCGGGGCUCAACCUCGGAAUUGCAUUUGAAA
rnacentral:rRNA from 1 species